AUCCAGAGCUGUAGGUACAGGGAGACAAGACAGGAAAAUGAUGUGUUACCGGUCUGGAGUUCAAGAGAAAAAAAAAAAAUCAGACAAAGGAUGCAAUAUCAACAUUGGCCGUGGACUUUGUCUUAAGUGUUAGCAGGAUUGUCAUCUUCUUCCUGUUGCCAGGUGGACCAACGUGAUGGAUCGGCCGCAGAAAACCCACUCUGGUCCCCAAGUUUGUAAAGACCAUUUUUUUCCCCACUUCACAUCCAUCGAAAACAGAGAAACGUAAAGAAUGGGUUGUUUUCAUGGCUGAAGCAUGUUAUCAGUAUUCUGCCUCGGAUUUCUGCUUGUUUUUUUGGGCUCAUUUUUGUACAUGUAACACUUUUCUGCUGAAUGGAUGCAACUGUAUUUGAGACAUUGCACAGUAUUUUCACUGUUGAAACAAUAACGCUGCCACAUCUGUCUUAAAGUACAAGACAAAUUGAACAUACCAUAUCCUUUC
ensembl:lncRNA